rnacentral:rRNA from 1 species
UACAGAGGGUGCGAGCGUUAAUCGGAAUUACUGGGCGUAAAGCGUGCGUAGACGGCUAUCUAAGUCGGGUGUGAAAGCCCCGGGCUCAACCUGGGAAUUGCAUUCGAGACUGAAUAGCUAGGGUACGGUAGAGGGAAGCGGAAUUUCCGGUGUAGCGGUGAAAUGCGUAGAUAUCGGAAGGAACAUCAGUGGCGAAAGCGGCUUCCAUGGACCAGUACCGACGUUCAGGCACGAAAGCGUGGGGAGCAAACAGG